GAUGAACGCUGGCGGCGUGCCUAAUACAUGCAAGUCGAGCGAACAGACGAGGAGCUUGCUCCUCUGACGUUAGCGGCGGACGGGUGAGUAACACGUGGAUAACCUACCUAUAAGACUGGGAUAACUUCGGGAAACCGGAGCUAAUACCGGAUAAUAUAUUGAACCGCAUGGUUCAAUAGUGAAAGACGGUUUUGCUGUCACUUAUAGAUGGAUCCGCGCCGCAUUAGCUAGUUGGUAAGGUAACGGCUUACCAAGGCAACGAUGCGUAGCCGACCUGAGAGGGGGAUCGGCCAAACUGGAACUGAGACACGGUCCAGACUCCUACGGGAGGCAGCAGGAGGGAAUCUUCCGCAAUGGGCGAAAGCCUGACGGAGCAACGCCGCGUGAGUGAUGAAGGUCUUCGGAUCGUAAAACUCUGUUAUUAGGGAAGAACAAAUGUGUAAGUAACUAUGCACGUCUUGACGGUACCUAAUCAGAAAGCCACGGCUAACUACGUGC
rnacentral:rRNA from 1 species